UUAGUUUGAAAUUUUUGAAGUAGAGGAUGAAUCAGUAAGAACGUAGCGGAUACAUCAUACAAUGGAUUAAUCCAUUAUCAAUCCAACAUUAUUCUCAUCAUUUUCAUCAUAUCUUUAUAAAUUCAAGAAAGAGGAGUAGGAAAUAGAAUUUAAAAACAUAAAAAUAAAUACAAAUUACAGCAUCAGUAGAGAUGAAGAACGCCUACUGAAUUACUGAUUAUCGUUGUUGCGGUGGUUGGUUUUUAUAGCGCAACUUCACAUAUUAAACCCUAGAACUUAACGUUAAUCUAAUGGGCCUUUACAGCCCAAUCAAUGCCUUUGAAGUUGUUUUUAAUUUCUUUUUAAUUUUUUUUCCACUCAAAAGAAAAAAACUUUUUAUUUUUUGUUUAUAUAAUGAAACGAUGCGUUUCGUUCUGUUGGGGUUUAUGGGCGGAUUACCGGAAAGAACUACGGCUUCUUUCUGAAUUUGGAUUUUGGAGAUUGAGGAAAACGAAACGGCUUACUGUGGGCUGUCUUCUGUGGGGGUAUAUAUCUUCUGUUUCUUUUGGUACAAGAAGACUUUGUAUUUUCAAUGUAAAUAAAGUGGCCAGCGCUGCAAAAGAUAGACGGAUUUUUGCUUGGUUCAAGACAGUAUGCAAAUUGCAUUUUCUGUUUCAUUCUUGUGUCAGACUACAUAUUGGAGAUGGUGGCUGUAUGGCACAAUUGUGUUCAGUAUUGGAAAGUUAAAAUCGUGGUGAGCUUGAUUGAUUCUUCAGAGAAGGGUGAUUCAUCACCCAGGUCUGAACUAUGCGGAAAAAAUAUUAUGGUGAAUAAGAAAGAAGUGCUUCCGAGAGGAUGAUCAUGUCAGUGAACAAACACUUCAUAUUAGAUUCAUUGAGGCAUUGCAGAACCUUCCCCCAGCUUCAUCAAAUACAUGCCCAUGCCAUUACUACGGGCAUCCUCACUCUUCAUUCCUUUUUUCUUCAUCCAAACAUUCUAUGCACGAUUGCCCGCCUUGCUGCUUCACAUCGCAUCGCAGCUUCUUCGAGUUUGACAAACUAUGCUGUUUUGGUGUUCAACCUUAUAAGGUCGCCUACCACUUUCUGCUAUAAUACAAUGAUGCGAGUUCAGAAUUUGUUUUCUGCUCCUGCAUCUGCCCUCAUGCUCUUCAAAGAUAUGCGCCGCAUUUCAAUUCCUCCAGACUUCCACACUUAUCCUUUUGCCAUCAAGGCCUCCAGUAAUCUCCGGGUACCUUCAAUUGCCGCUGCCCUUCAUUCGCUGACUGUGAAGUCUGGCUUUGUUACUGACAUAUAUGUUCUCAAUUCCAUUCUUCAUGUGUAUGCUAUUUUGGACCGCCUCAGUGAUGCUUGCUUGUUGUUUGAAGAGAGUGGACAUAAAGAUAUUAUAUCCUAUAAUGCAUUGAUUGAUGGCUUUGUUAAGGCAGGAGACAUUGAAAAAGCACACCUGCUUUUUGAUAAAAUGACGAUCCGUGAUGCAGUCUCAUGGGGUACUCUGAUUGCUGGCUACACACAUAUGAAGGAAUGCCAGAAAGCCAUUGAUCUCUUUAAAAGCUUGCUUCGUUCACCGUCUGGAAUUCGUCCAGACAACAUUGCUCUGGUUUCUGUUCUUUCUGCCUGUGCACAACUUGGAGAUCUGGAGCAAGGCAGAGCAGUUCAUGAUUAUGUAAUCGAAAAUGGGAUUCGAGUGGAUUCCUUCUUGUCCACUGGCUUGGUGGACUUGUAUGCCAAGUGUGGCUGCGUUGAGAAGGCCAUAAAUAUUUUUGAAUCAAGCUCUGAGAAGAAUUUGUUCACAUGGAAUGCUUUGUUAAUGGGGCUUGCUUUACAUGGCCAUGGCAGAGCAUGCUUAGAUUAUUUUUCCAGGAUGAUAACGGAUGGUAUUCGGCCAGAUGGUGUCAGUGUCUUGGGAGUUUUGGUUGGAUGCAGCCAUGCAGGUCUAAUUUGUGAAGCACGUGAGCUUUUUAAGAAUAUGGAUGUUAUGCAUGGGGUUCGCCGUGAGCUAAAGCACUAUGGCUGCAUGGCUGAUUUGUUUGGACGUGCUGGUUUAAUUGGAGAAGCACAAGAGAUGAUAAAACAUAUGCCAAUUCAGGGUGACAUCUACACCUGGGGAGCCUUACUUGCUGGCUGCAGAAAACAUGGGAUGCUUGAAAUUGCAGAGGAAGCAGCUAAGCACAUGCAGAAGUUGAACCCUGAAGAUAGCGGUCUAUACUCAGUAAUGGUUGAUAUUUAUGCUAAUUCUGAUAUGUGGGAUGAUGUUGCCAAGACAAGGAGUAUCAUAAGGACUAGAAGGAUCACAAAGAAUGCUGCUUGUAGUUUGAUUAAAUUAAAUGGGAUUAGUCAUGAGUUUAUAGCCGGUGAUGAUUUGCAUCCUCAAACGGAUGAGAUAUAUAUGGUUUUGAGUGGCCUAGGAAACCACCAAUUUGAAGCUUCUCCACAAAAAUUCUAACUAAAUAGGGAUGUGGUACAGCGGUGGUUGAUUAUUUUCAUCUGUUUGAUCCUGGGACGGCAAUCAGAUGUAAUGGAACAAUUGGUUUCUACCAUUAUGUUUCCUACAUUCAGCAAGGGGGGAAGCGAGCAAAAGAUAUUGCUAGUUUGCGCUAGAUGCCUUCCUAGAAGUACGGAUCAUAGAACAGGGACAAUUCAACUGUAGAGAUCUGUACUGAAUGGAAUUCUACACCUUCAUCCCCUGAUCUAAUUGGUGUUUUAUCAUCAGCGAUAAAACUACCCUUUAGCACACUCCAUCCAUAAUCACGGGUUGUAUUGUAGAUUGUUGACAAGGUUUUUGGCAGACAGCCAAUAUCAUCAGUAGCUUUUCUGUUAGCUUCUGAGCUGGGUUGCAUUGAUGGGAAGGUUAACGGAAGGGAAGGAUUAUCUGCUCUUUGCAUACAGGAAAGAAGUGCUCCCAUAAGAGAAAAGCCAUCACCGAGCGCAUGGUGAAGCUUGAAGAUGAGGUGUGCUGCUGCUUUGUUUGUUGGGUAAUUAAAAAUGUGAACUUCCCAUAAUGGUUUGUCUUUUGACAGUGGUUUCAUAGCAAUUUCGGUUAUAUAUUUGUCGAAACAGUCAUCAUAUUUUUCGAGGGACAAGUUGUCAGGAAAUCUGGGAAGAUUGAGAUGAUCUGGAAGGUUCACCUCCACCCUUUUCCAUUGUUUUACACCCUUGUGAUCAGAUACCUGUGAAGAGCAAUUUCAAAACACUUGUUAUGUUUUUGCUGAUAAACUUAGGAUUUAGGAAGUUGGAGGCAGACAAUUCAAGAGAGAAUGAGAAAGAAUUACCAUAAUGGAUGAGAACCUUGUGUUGAUGGGAAGGAAGAGAUCCUGAAGUAGUGGUAAUGCACAGGACUCAUCAAUGGGAAUUUCGGAUUCCAAAAUUCCAAGGACACGAACUGACAUUGUUUUGCUAUUGAAGUAUUGUCCUGUAGGAGACACUGGUUCGUCUUCUGCACCUUCUUCUUCUUCUUCUUUGUAUUCUGUUUUUAUUUGCAACCCGGAAUCCAUUUCCCUUGUUUCCAAACACAAUAACGUUGUAUGUCUUUGACUUAGUAGUAGUAGUAGUAGUAGUAGUAGUAGUAGUAGUAAUAGUGUAAUAGUGUAAUAGUGUUAGGCUUAGGAAGGAUGGGAGGGAGAUCCGCUCUUAUGGCUAUGGGUUUUAUAUGAAGUCAAGUUUGAAGAAAACAUCACCCAUUUCUGCAUACUUUUUAUACUGAAUACGUAUUGCAUUAAUGGCAGUUAAAGGGGGAGUUGAAACCAUUAUUAGAGUGUAGGUGCAGCUGUUCAUACUUCAUAUUUUUUUUUCUGGUACAAGUUACAUAUAGCA